rnacentral:lncRNA from 1 species
AGAAAUUGGGAGUAAAACACCAGGAAGAAUAGUCUUUUUCCUUGAGAGAGAGGAAUUUAAAAUGAGAACUUAAGGGCUGAUGUGGCUCAGUUGGUCUAGUAUUGCUGGGCAUGCAUGAAGCUCAGGGUCGCCCAGCGUCCAGGGCUAGCACUGUGGAAGCCAUCACUCAGGUGACAAGAAGAGCAGAAGUUCUUCGGAUCUGCACCCAGCCUGGGAUGCAGAGGGCCCAUCUCACAAGGAAAUCUAGAGCUUUUAUAGAGCAGAGCCACAACUUCACAAAAAACAUUUUGCCAGCUGAGGUGGUACACACUCUUGAUCCCAAUACUGACGAAGCAGCCAGAUCUCUGAGCUCAAGGACAGGUCUACAUUGCGAGACUCAGGACAGCCAGGGCUCUGGAGAGAGACCCUGUCUCAGAAGGGAAAAAAAAAAGAAAA